rnacentral:snoRNA from 10 species
ACUGAGGAAUGAUGACAAGAAAAGGCCGAAUUGCAGUGUCUCCAUCAGCAGUUUGCUCUCCAUGGGCACACGAUGACAAAAUAUCCUGAAGCGAACCACUAGUCUGACCUCAGU